rnacentral:rRNA from 1 species
GUGCCAGCACCGCGGUUAAUUCCAGCUCCAAUAGCGUAUAUUAAAGUUGUUGCAGUUAAAAAGCUCGUAGUUGGAUCUGAGGAGUAGAGUAGACGGUGCGCCUUUCAGGUUCUACUGUUUGCUCAUCCUACCUAGCCGGUGACCGUCUCGGUGCUCUUAACUGAGCGCCUUGAUAGCCCGACAUGUUUACUUUGAACAAAUUAGAGUGCUCAACGCAGGCUUCAGGCUUGUAUAUUAGUGCAUGGAAUAAUGGAAUAGGACUUUAGUUCUAUUUUGUUGGUUUACGGAACCUAAGUAAUGAUUAAAAGGGACAGGCGGGGGCAUUCGUAUUGUGCCGGGAGAGGUGAAAUUCGAAGAUCGGCGCAAGACGACCUACUGCGAAAGCAUUUGCCAAGUAUGUUUUCGUUAAUCAAGAACGAAAGUCAGAGGUUCGAAGACGAUUAGAUACCGUCCUAGUUCUGACCAUAAACGAUACCACCUGAUCAUCCGAGGUUGAUUGCCUGUUCGAUCCUUCGGGCGAUCUCCGGGAAACCAAAGUUUUUUGGUUCCGGGGGAAGUAUGGUUGCAAAUCCGAAACUUAAAGGAAUUGACGGAAGGGCACCACCAGGAGUGGAGCCUGCGGCUUAAUUUGACUCAACACGGGAAAGCUCACCCGGUCCGGACACUGUUAGGAUUGACAGAUUGAUAGCUCUUUCUUGAUUCAGUGGGUGGUGGUGCAUGGCCGUUCUUAGUUGGUGGAGCGAUUUGUCUGGUUAAUUCCGAUAACGAACGAGACUCUAGCCUGCUAAAUAGUACACUCAUCACAAGUGUGGGUGCUUGCUUCUUAGAGGGACAGGCGGCGCAUAGUCGCACGAGAUUGAGCAAUAACAGGUCUGUGAUGCCCUUAGAUGUCCGGGGCCGCACGCGUGCUACACUGAUCGGUUCAUCGAGUUCACAACCUUGGCUGAUAGGCCUGGGUAAUCUUCUCAAAGCCGGUCGUGCUGGGGAUAGAUCAUUGCAAUUAUUGAUCUUCAACGAGGAAUUCCUAGUAAACGCGAGUCAUCAACUCGCAUUGAUUACGUCCCUGCCCUUUGCACUCACCGCCCGUC